AAUCAUUGUCAAUAAUACGUCAACUUUCUAGCUAGUUAGUUCUGAAAAUAAACAUUCCGGAGACCCCACUAUUAUUUUGGGGAAUUAAAUUUUGAAGUCCAGAAAGAUGUGGGUCAGCCAUUUUGGAGGUCGAAUUGUUCCAAACGUAACGCGCAAUUCUACAACUGAUAAAACUUUUUUUUUGGGAUUGAGAUCUGUAGCUUUUACUUCACGGGAAAGAAAACAAAACAGCUCAACAAAUUAAUGGUUGGAAAAGAAAAAAAUUGUAAGAAUGAAGUGGAGAAAAAUUCUGUGAAGCAGACUUAUGAAGCUGAAAGUGAUCGCCGAAUUCAAUUUGUUAGGGUUUGAGAGGAGCCUAUCAGAAAUUUAUUUGGUUAUAUUUAAUUUGUUUUUGAAAAGUGGAUGGGGAUAUGUGAGAUCAUGGAGGAGGCUAUAAACCUGUGCAUAAAUGGGAUGUGGGCCCUGCAGGAGCGUCGCUUAACAGUGGCAUUCAACACGGUGACUUAUUUAGUAAGGUCAGCAUUGCGCUUAAUUUUGUUGAGGCACUUGGUUGUGACACGGACUUCUUAUGCUUGAAUAUUUUAAUAUACAAAAAAUAAACUGGCGGAAAGGUGUGAGAUGAGGUAUGGUAAACUUUGAAAUAUAAGUUUCUUUUGGAUUUUGCUCUUAACAUUUUGCCCUUCUUUUCUUUUCAUGGCAAAAUUUCACUCCAAAGCAUGUUGAGGAGGCAUCCUAUCCCAAUACAUUUGGGGAGGAAGAUGUAAUUUCAAGAAAAUAAAAAUGAAAAAUCAAUAGUAUUUAUAAA